GACGAACGCUGGCGGCGUGCUUACCACAUGCAAUUCAAAGGGAAGGGCCCUGCUUUUGUGGGUUGCUCGAGUGGCGAACGGGUGAUUAACACGUAAGUACCCUGCCCUUGCCUUUGGGAUAACUUCAGGAAACUGGGGCUAAUACCGGUUAGAAGCUCCUGCUGCAUGGUGGGGGUUGGAAAGUUUCGGCGGUUGGGGAUGGACUCGCGGCUUAUCAGCUUGUUGGUGGGGUAGUGGCUUACCAAGGCUUUGACGGGUAGCCGGCCUGAGAGGGUGACCGGCCACAUUGGGACUGAGAUACGGCCCAGACUCCUACGGGAGGCAGCAGUGGGGAAUAUUGCACAAUGGGCGGAAGCCUGAUGCAGCAACGCCGCGUGCGGGAUGACGGCCUUCGGGUUGUAAACCGCUUUCGCCUGUGACGAAGCGUGAGUGACGGUAAUGGGUAAAGAAGCACCGGCUAACUACGUG
rnacentral:rRNA from 1 species